CAACCCUCAAGCUCAGCUUGGUAUUGGGCCCCGCCGACCCGGCGGGCCCUAAAGUCAGUGGCGGUGCCGUCCGGCUCCGAGCGUAGUAAUUCUUCUCGCUCUGGAGGUCCGGUCGUGUGCUCGCCAGCAACCCCCAAUUUUUUUCAGG
rnacentral:misc_RNA from 1 species